rnacentral:rRNA from 1 species
UACAGAGGGUGCAAGCGUUGUUCGGAAUUAUUGGGCGUAAAGCGCGUGUAGGCGGCUUUGCAAGUCGGGUGUGAAAUCCCUCGGCUCAACCGAGGAACUGCAUCCGAUACUGGCGGGCUUGAAUCCGGGAGAGGGAUGUGGAAUUCCAGGUGUAGCGGUGAAACGCGUAGAUAUCUGGAGGAACACCGGUGGCGAAGGCGGCAUCCUGGACCGGUAUUGACGCUGAGGCGCGAAAGCUAGGGGAGCAAACGGGG